rnacentral:misc_RNA from 1 species
AACGCACCUUGCACUUCCAUUUAACCGGAAGUAUAUCUGUUCGAGUAUUAUUAUACUCUCAACUACAACACUUGUUGUAUUUGGACUUGAGUGUUCUGUCUGGCCGCUUUCGCAGACUGUCACUUUGAAUGAAAGAGUUUGAGAGCGUCUAAGACAUCUCUGUUCCCUUGACUUGUUCAAAAUGAGCCUUGGGAACGUAGUCUUGUGCUGUGUCGAAGCAAACUCUAGGACCGAGGGGCAUAAAGGCCUUGAGCCUUUCACCUUUAAUCUCGAAUCAGAUAAGAUUACCCGCUGAACUUAA